rnacentral:rRNA from 1 species
CCUACGGGGGGCAGCAGUGAGGAAUAUUGGUCAAUGGACGAGAGUCUGAACCAGCGAAGUAGCGUGAAGGAUGAAGGCACUAUGGGUGGAAAACUUCAUUUAUAAAGGAAUAAAACGAGGCACGUGUGCCUUUUUGCAUGUACUUUAUGAACAAGGAUCGGCUAACUCCGUGCCAGAAGCCGCGGUAAUACGGAGGGUCCGAGCGUUAUCCGGAUUUAUUGGGUUUAAAGGGAGCGUAGAUGGGUUGUUUAGUCAGUUUUGAAAUUUUGCGGCUCAACCGCAAAAUUGAAAUUUAUACUGGCAGUCUUGAGUACAGUUGAGGUAGGCGGAAUUC